CGCUGGCUUUAAGCCGCCCCGGGACAGACUCUCCCCUCUCCCCUUCUCUCCCCGCCGCGUGCCUGAGGUGAAGGCGGCCGCCUCGACCUUCGUCUCCUCCAGGGGGCUGGAAGCUCCGUGCCCCGAACCGGCCUCGCUCCUCCUCCGGCCGCCAGCAGGUGAGGCCGGCCCCGGGGCGGUGCUGCUGCCGCCGCCGCCGCCCACUCGCCUCGUCCCGGCCUGGGGAAGCACCUGUGGUGCCCGCCGGCCCCACCGCCGCCGCCAGGCUUGACCUGAGGACGGUUUCAUCCCACAAGAAUCAGCUAGUGAGAUCUGCACAGGCUUCUUCCUAAGGGGAAUCAUGUCUGAGAUUGACUAUGAGAAGUUAGCCGAAAUAGAACUGCAGAAAGAUGAAGCAGAAGAUACACAGUCAGGACAAGAUAAAACAUUUACGCCUCCACCACAUGAGGAUCCUCAGCUAGAUAUCAAUCAUCCCUACUAUGAUGUUGCAAGACAUGGCAUCAUUCAGUUAGCAGUUAACGAGUGGAAUCAGGUUUGUAUGCUUUCUGGAUUUACAUUCAAGAGAGAAAAAGGUGAUGACAAUUCUGGAAGAAAGGUGAUUACCUUCAGUUGCUGCCGUAUGCCCCCCUCCCACCAGCUCAAUCACACCAGAUUGCUGGAGUACUUAAAAUAUACUCUGGAACAGUACGUAGAGAAUGAUUAUACAGUUGUCUACUUUCACUACGGCCUGAAGAGUCUGAAUAAACCAUCACUGAAAUGGUUACAAACAGCCUACAAAGAAUUUGACAGGAAGUAUAAGAAAAACCUCAAAGCACUCUAUGUUGUACAUCCAACCAACUUCAUAAAAAUUCUGUGGAAUAUUUUUAAACCUCUUAUAAGCCAUAAGUUUGGGAAAAAAGUCACCUACUUGAACUAUUUAAGUGACCUGAGAGAGCAUCUCAAAUAUGACCAGCUUAAUAUUCCUCAAGAAGUCAUCCGACAUGAUGAAAAUCUUCGGGGGAAACACAAGGGAAAACUGCCUCCUGUGGUCAAGGUUCCUCCACCAAGACCACCUCUACCUACCCAGCAAUUUGGAGUCAGCCUGCAAUAUAUCAAGGACAAAAAUAGCGGUGAACUAAUUCCCCCAGUAAUGAAGGAAACCGUGUCCUACCUAAAAAGAAAUGAUCACCUUCAUGUACAAGGAAAAGAGGGAUGCGCCUUGAACUGCUGUCUAUACAGUGGUAUCCCUCAUGCACCCAACCAACACAAUGGAGGAAGGAAGCACCAGAUGCUACCUGUAGGGCAAGCAUGCUGUGUUUCCAACUUAGGAAUGGAGGAGCAGCAGGGAGGAAAGGAUAAGGCUGCAGUUCUGACAUUCCUUUUUUCUAUAUAAUAUGAUUACACAUUCUGAUCCCUGAUUUUGAGGGUGGUGAGAGUAUUAUUUCCAUAACUCCUCCUGCUUCUAGGUGUUAGAGUUUCAUGAAUGUUAAUGAAUGUUAAUGAAAUCUUACAGUACCAACCCCAAAUAUUAGCUGCAUUUAUGUUACACGUGCAAGAAAAGAAACAGCAUAACACAGCUAUGUGACUGGUGCAACACUGCUAAAUGCUAAAGCUGGAACUGAUUUCUAUGAUCUCUGAAAGUACAGCGUGAAUUUUUAAUAGAUGUGUCAGUAGGGCAAGUAAAGAAAACCAGAAUGUUUGGUUCAGGUAUUUUUUGUGGGAAUGCAGGUGGCAUUGUUGGUUGUUUUGUUUGUUUUUUAUUGAAUGCCACUAUUCUUUAACAUGCUAUUAAUUUUGGUUAAUGUUUGAACAAAUUUUAAGGACUAACGAGAUUUUUCUUAAGACAAAAACCAGGCUCAUGGCUCUGUAUUUCUGCUAUACAUAGCAGUUUCAUCUGAGGUUUUCCUUGUUUAAAGCAAUUAUUGACAGCACACAAAUAGAGAAUACAAAUGUUGAGUAAGUUAUUGUCUUCCAUAGAGAGGUUUACCCCAAACCUACAUCCCACAAUAUUCCCCAUCCUUAACUGCAUUCUUGGGCUCCUAAUCUGAACAAGGUACAUUUUCCUUUCAGAUGUGUUUAAACGUGUUCAAAUGUGUUCAGUGUUGAUUUCUGUCUGUUUUAACUGUUGUCACUAGAGUUUGAUUUUAGUUUAUUUGAACCUUAAGAGAGAAAUAUCAAACAUUUUUAAAACUUGCACUGAAUAGUCUUCACAUUUGUCAAAAGAGAGAGGAAGGAAUGUGAAGAAAAACAUUACUUUUCAGCUGUGUUGCAGAUUCCCUUGAGCAAUCCUGUCUUCAUUUGUAUUGGUGCAAGAUCAGGCUGGUUUAAAUGAGGACAGACUACACAGCAUCUUUCCCUCAUUGCUGGACUAUGCUCCUCCAUAUUUUAGUUUCUCCUGUAGUAAAUAAGAACAUUCUAUUGUACGUUUUAUUUUUGUUUGCUUUUCAUACCUUGCAUGAAACUUAAUGGUAUGUAUAGGAGAUUAAGAGGGAGAUCCAUUUCAGUGGAUACCUGCUUUCAGUUCACAUCAGCAGAGCACAGCUUUUAUAGGCUUCCUUGUGUACAGAACAGCCAGCUGCUAGCUUACUGAAAUUGGGAUUUAUCUUCAAAAUACCUGUACCAACCAAAGGCCAAGAAUUGGAGUGGUGCCAUUUGUGCUAUUCAGGGUAUCUACUGAUCUGCAGUAUGUAAAGAGCCCCCAGAAAAACUUUACUGAAGGCCUCUAGGUCCUAAUUCAGCAUUACACUAAAGCUCAUGAAACUAUUCUGAUAUUCUGGAUAUGCUGCUUCAGGCACCUUAAAGAUGAAAACUUUUCAGAUGCAGCUUGUUUCAAAUACAUUGUUGUUAGAUGGGUGGAAUGUAAAUAGUUCACUACUAAGAAUGUUGAAGGCAAGUGACUGGCAGCUUGAGACAAUCCCUGUAAUUAUAAUUGUAAAUGGAUAAUUAGAGCACGUGUAGUGGAUCAGAGCAUGCCUCAUCUGCAGAUGAAAACCAGGUUUUUUCAUAUUUUAGAUUGUUAUGAAACAGUCAUACUUACAUACAUUUAGCUUAUCUUAAUAGGCAAAUGCCUCUUACUCAGUAAUCCAUGGGAGUCAGGAGAGCUUAAACAAGGAUGAACAUGCACAGAUAUCACUACUUCUCAUAGCUGUUAUUACUCAGAGACUGAGAGAAAGUUUAAUCAUUAAAAAUGUCAAUUGAUUUAAACUUCUGACUGUAUAGGGACAGGAUACUUUGCUUAUCUUACACUUCCUUCCACAUGUUUAAAGAUUUUAAAGGAGUUGUAUUUUGCUGGUGACAGAAGUUUCAUUAGUAACUUGUUGUGAUGACUGAACACAAACGGUCCAUUUCUUGUUAUUUUUGAUGUUUUUCUUGCUGUUUUGUCUUGUAGCAACUGCAACAGUAUCAGACACCUCCAUCCCACCAUUUGUUGGGUACAGCUUAGUUUUCUGAAGCCACCAUUUCUGCUGCACAGAAAUUUAAAACAAAAACAAAACAAAAACAAAUAAUUAAAAAAGAAAAACCACCAAAGUUUCAGCUCAUGGUUGUGAUUAAAGAGAAGAUUUGGCUCAAACUUAUCAUUGCAGAAUGUCUCUGAGAUGAAAGCUUGUUAUUCUGAAAGCAGUAAUCGUCCUUGGGUUUUCUCCAAACAUCCUCUUUUUUUGGCUAAAACUUCAUUCAGUGCAAUAUCAGCACAGUUUGUGAAGGAUAGUCUCUGAGGAUAUGUGAUGGUAUUUCUGAACAAAAGUCCUUGUCCUGCUUUGUGCAUCCGUGCAAGUUGGUAACGCAGUGAUGCUGAGCACUGAUCUGUAGUUCAGCCUCACGCUCGCUAGCCAGCCUGUCUGACUUUUCCCCGUCUUUCUGUCCUUCUGUGUCCCCAGGAAGGAAGGCCAUCAGAUCUGCCAGCGCUGGCAUCUUCCAGCUAAGCAUGGGUUUGUUCUGAGCUGACAUAUUCCCUAUCACAAGGAGAUGUCCUCUAACCAGAUUUCUCAGUUAGGAGACGGCUUGUCAGGACUACAAGUAGAGGGCCUCUUCAGAAGGUCAGCCAGCAUCCAGACUAUCAAAGAUGUUCAGAAGCUCUACAACCAGG